AUCUCUGCAAUAGGCGAAAGCUUGACAGGGUUACUCUGAGUGAUUCCCGCUAAGGGGAUCUUUUGGCACCUCUAAAAAUGGUGCAGAAUAAGGGGUGGGCAAGUCUGGUGUCAGCCGCCGCGGUAAUACCAGCACCCCGAGUGGUCGGGACGAUUAUUGGGCCUAAAGCAUCCGUAGCCGGUACUGCAAGUCUUCCGUUAAAUCCACCUGCUCAACAGUUGGGCUGCGGGGGAUACUACAGCGCUAGGAGGCGGGAGAGGCAAGCGGUACUUAAUGGGUAGGGGUAAAAUCCACUGAUCCAUUGAAGACCACCAGUGGCGAAGGCGGUUUGCCAGAACGCGCUCGACGGUGAGGGAUGAAAGCUGGGGGAGCAAACCGGAUUAGAUACCCGGGUAGUCCCAGCUGUAAACGAUGCAGACUCGGUGAUGGGCUGGCCUUGUGUCAACCCAGUGCCGCAGGGAAGCCGUUAAGUCUGCCGCCUGGGGAGUACGGUCGCAAGACUGAAACUUAA
rnacentral:rRNA from 1 species